rnacentral:lncRNA from 1 species
UUUAAAGUUCGUUCCAAGACCGAAGAAGCAAAACAAUGUAACAUACUCGUUAUUUAAUCAAAUUCUAAUUCAACUAUUCAGAACGUAAAAGUUUUUCUAAGUAACGCCCACAAAAGUGUAUAACAACUGUACUGCAAAGACGAGCCAAAUGCUCUCACCGAGCCUCACCCUGAAAAUAAUCUCAGAGAGGACGUGACAACGACAUCAUGAUGAAUAUAACUACACAUUUAAAGUUCGUUCCAAGACCGAAGAGGCAAAACAAUGUAACAUACUCGUUAUUUAAUCAAAUUCUAAUUCAACUAUUCAGGACAUAAAGUUUUGCUAAGGAACGCCCACAAAAGUGUAGAGCAACAGUACUGCCAAGAAUGCUCCUCUAGGAGUAGCUUGAGAAAACUUCAUCCUUAUGCCAGAUUAACUUCCUUCUAUGACAUCUUCAAUCCGUUCGCUUACAACAUCAGUUUUUGCACAUUUCUUUGAUACAACUGUCGGCCUCACCUAGUCACUUUUAUUCACCAAACGGACCAACUUUUUAUCACGAACGAAUUUAGAACUUGAAGUUACCUGUUUCAAAAAUAUAAACCAUGACUGUUUGCAAGCACGAAACAGAUUAAUAAGAGUCAUUAACUCUUUAUUAUUUAUACAAAAAAUACCAUACUAAUGCAAGUCAACCUUUAGACUAAUAUAAAAUUCUCUUUACUUUGUAGUUUAUAUAAGUCAACUGAAUCAUUAUGAGUAAAGCUACAUUGAUUGAUCGAAUUGAAUCUCCUGCACGUUUUCAAGUUUCUUUAACUAAGUUAUAAUAUAGAACCGUGUCAACCAUACUUUUGUUAGUUUACCACUUUUUGAAUUUUUGAUAGUCGAUAGUAAACCAUACGAGCCUCUGUAGUAUGUAACCUCAGGCCAUGAGCCUUUGUAAUCAUUAGAGGACAUUAAAUUCACGAUAAAUGCAUGGAAGGGGCAAUAUUAUGUAUUAAUUUUCAAAAAAUUCCAUCAUAUCCAGCACACAAAAACCAUACUCAGAACAAUCAUGAAUCCUGCUAUUAUGUUACAUUUGAAAAAGAGUGUCAGUAAUUUAUUUUCAUGCGAGUAUACAUUUCUGAAUCACUUUCUGACAAAAAGAGUUUAAAAUUGCUUUUUAGAUAAAUAUGGUCUACAGUCUGAAUUGUGUGAAACUACCAGGGAAUCACUCACUCGUGGCAUAUACCCCGGGCCAGUUUCUAGUUGGGAUGCAAUAGGCCAAACACCAAGCCACUCCGGAAAGAAGAGAUGGUACAAAGAAAAGGAUAGGUAAUUCCGAAUUUAAAACCAGUCAUGUCAUGUGUAAUAUCAACUUAUGUAUGCUGCCUUAAAAACUAUUUUCCUAUGGUUUGUAAGCCUGUAAAGUGGGUUGUUUAGGAACCAAUAAAGAAAGUAAGAGACAAGAAUCCUUAUAUACUUAUAAAAGAUUUGUCAAGUGGAUAUUAACAGUUGAGAGAGAGGAAAUAAUAUAUUUUUUAAGUUCUUGGAAACAAAUAAAGAAGGAUUGGAAUAUAAGGGUUAGCUAAUGAAAAAAUGGUAUGGUAUGAAUAUAUUAAUAUAGCUGAAGCAUUAGGAUUUCACACUACCUUGGCCUUUACCGCUUCCCUAAGCACGUUCACAUCUUCCAUCCGACCAGCUUCCUGGAGUGACUUGACAGCAAGCUUUUGCAGCUUUUUCAUUUUCAUUACUCCAUCAU